GAGAACUUUGAAGACUGAAGUGGACAAGGGUUCCAUGUGAACAGCAGUUGGACAUGGGUGAGCCGAUCCUAAGGGGUAGGGCAAUUCCUCGAACAGUCGCUUUUUGCGGCUGCCUACCGAAAGGGAAACGGGUUAAUAUUCCCGUGCCAUCGCGAGGCGAGUGGGCGGUAACGCGAACGAGCUCGGCGACGUCGGCGGGAGCCCCGGGAAGAGUUCUCUUUUCUUCUUAACUGUCCGUUACCCUGGAAUCGGAUUGCCCGGAGCGAGGGUUCUGCGUCAGGGAAAGCCCUUCACUUUUGGGGGGUCCGGUGCGCUCUCGACGGCCCUUGAAAAGCCGGGGGCGCGUAUGAUGUUCUCGCAUGGUCGUACCCAUAACCGCCUCAGGUGUCCCAGGUCAAGAGCCUCUAGUUGAUAGAACAAUGUAGAUAAGGGAAGUCGGCA
rnacentral:rRNA from 1 species